AAGGAAGCCCCUCCUUAUCCUUCGUGCACGCCGUGUGAAAUAUGUAUUGCAUAAUGGCCGACGUAGCUUCACGUACGUUGUGUAUUCUGUCUAGAAGAAUUUCCAUAUAGCAUUUAAUAAUAUUUUUACAUUGGAUCAACCCGGAAAAAUUGCUCAAACAUUAUCCUAGCAAUGCAAAACAGUAAAAUGGCGGAUCGCGAAAGCUCACUGUAAAAUAUAAUUUCCUGUAUAUUACGAGGAAAAGGACGGCCGUCAAGAAUUUCUCUGGGUGUUGGAUGCUGGAUGCUGAAUCGGGCUGGAAGUGGGGAUCACGUGGUUAAUAGUGAAAGUUAGUGAGACUACAUUUACUUUACUAAAUCAUUCUGAUCUUGACGGCCAUCGUCACUCUAUAUGCUGAUCGCAGUCAACUGUUUCUUUGGAGCAUUAUCGAUUUUCAAUUUAGCUAUACAAUAGUACCAUAUUUUUUAUUAGUUUUUGUCCGGAAUCCAACAGUAAUCUCUUUUUGCGGAAAAUUGUCAAUAGCUUGCUGGAACACUUUCAUUUCUUCUAGAUCCCAUUAAAAGAUUGUGUUCUGUCUGAGCGAAAUUGAACAAUUAUACUGCCGGUACCAUAACAACAAAUGCUAGCCAAUCGCAAUUGGGUCUAACACUUUUUAAUGCUGGAACAAGAUUGAACAUCGUGCGAGUUUGGACGUCUCAGUCCCAGUAAGAGGCCAUCAGACUAACAGGCUUCGCCGUACGAGACUCGUAGCCUCAGGCAGUGGCCCACAUUUUCAACUGAAUCAUUCUUUUUAGGUUUUACCAACAGUUCGAGUAGGCAUUCCUUAUUUUGCUGCUUCGCCCGAAUGACCACCUAGGCUUUACUGUAAUUCUCAUGUACACACUGCCGCCAUCUGUAUACAGCGUUUUGCACUCGUAAAUAGUUAAGAUGUGAGACGCUUUCCGACGUUCCUUAUUAAUUCCAUGCGAACUUUCACAAUCAACAAGAAUUCGAAAACCAUGUUCCAAAUGUCCAGCAGAAUAUGUCUACCGCACAAAGUCCUACACGAUGUUAAAAACGUUUACCUCGUAGCGUCAAGCUGAUCUGUGUGUUAAUAAUAUAUCGCGUAUAAAAAAUGACGACUGGUAUGGUCUGUACGUAUUUAUGUAAAAAGAAAUACAGUGGUUCAACCGUCGGAUAAUUGGAUCAUUACAAGAACGAGCCCUUGGAGCUCUGUAUCGGUACUCAAGUUCUCUUUUUGUAAUAACGUCAUCGCGAAUACUCGACCACCCGAUGAUCAGGGUUAUGUUACUGAUAUUUUAAACUCAAACAAAAAGACGAAUAAUCGCCCGAUUAUUCGAUCCUAUUAAACUAACAGUCAAAGAGAAGAAAGAACAUCCGGUUAACUCACAUCGACCACUGACUUCAAUUGGUAUUGCUGUAGCCAUUGCCAUAGCUUGUGUCCUGGCGUACGUAAUCUCGAUCUAACCUUAUCCUACUGGCUAAUAGCUCACCGCAUACUAGUAAAAUUACUCACGGAAGCAAUACUCAAGUAGUCAAGCAAUCGUGUCAGAGUUCAAGGAAUCAAAUCGGCCGGAUAAUUUUCGAAGCCAUGUUAUUUAGCUCUUGGAUGUUCUCGGUCAAUUGAUCUCUCAGGGUGUAUAACGAUUGAUCCAGAUAUUCGAACCUCAAAGUGUCAUUCGCAUUUUACCCUGAAUCCUCUAACGUCUAUUACUUUGACUAUAGUUGCCACAAGUACUCUAUGGAUACAGUACUCAAAGUGAGAUAAUACUGAUAAUGCAAAAUUCAUAUCCAACGGAUCCUUGCAACAUCUGCAGGAACAAAUAACAGUAUUGGUAACCGUAUUGAGAUUACGCAAGGUCGAUGCUACUCCCGGUAAUGGCAGAUGCUUUAUAUUUUGUAAAUAUAAAAUAUUAACAGUGCUCAACUGACGGUGCGUAGUAACGUUACAAACUGUGUAUAACGGUGGAGUUACUACGAGUUACUAUAGUCAAUGACGGGACACGGACUCUGCUAUUGGUCCAGUAGUAGCAACAGUACUGGCUUCAAUUCCGACUGGAUUCUCUUUGGAAUUCAUGACUGGGACUUCUUCUUCUUCGUCUACUAUGGCUGCGUAAGUGCUUCGAGUUUAUUCGCUUGCGCGAAUCCACUUGCAAAAACAUCCCGCAGCCAAGCGGUACUACUAGUAGACGCUGCUUCGAUCGCGGAUUACGGAAAAUCGAGGAACGAGAAUUUGAACCAGUAUGUGGACAACUUACGGUUCAGGUUCCGUGACACCUUCCUGUCCGCUCUGGUUGAAUAAACGUUACGGGAGACACAAUAUAAAAGAAAGAUGUCAGAAAUCAUCGUUCCUACAUUGUUACUGGGUUUUGUACCUUGGAAUUUGAAUGCCUUGGGUCUCGGCGAUCUUCUCGGAAUCGUCGGUGUGGAAAAAUCGAGAUAAAAGUCACGAAAUCCAAAGGAUUAGGCUGCUGUUUUUUGCAUUGUCAUUUUUAUGUCGAACAAAACGAAAAGCAGGAACAGCGACUGAAAUGGAUGGUAGGGAAUCUUCAUUGUCUCUCUCGGCAUGAUUUCCUUGGAAUUCAUGGCUGUGCAUCACCACACGAAAAAUUCACGAUGCUAAUUUACGUUUCUAGAUAUAGGUACGCCUGCGUAGGAAAAGUAUGAAGCAUACUACAGUAAUAAACUUGUUCUCUAACCGGAAAGAGGAAACAGGAAGAAAAAGCGCU